GACGAACGCUGGCGGCGUGCCUAAUACAUGCAAGUCGAGCGCAGGAAAUCGACGGAACCCUUCGGGGGGAAGUCGACGGAAUGAGCGGCGGACGGGUGAGUAACACGUAAAGAACCUGCCCUCAGGUCUGGGAUAACCACGAGAAAUCGGGGCUAAUACCGGAUGGGUCAUCGGACCGCAUGGUCCGAGGAUGAAAGGCGCUUCGGCGUCGCCUGGGGAUGGCUUUGCGGUGCAUUAGCUAGUUGGUGGGGUAAUGGCCCACCAAGGCGACGAUGAAUAGCCGACCUGAGAGGGUGAUCGGCCACACUGGGACUAGGACACGGCCCAGACUCCUACGGGAGGCAGCAGUAGGGAAUCUUCCACAAUGGACGAAAGUCUGAUGGAGCAACGCCGCGUGAACGAUGAAGGCCCUCGGGUCGUAAAGUUCUGUUGUAAGGGAAGAACAAGUGCCGCAGGCAAUGGCGGCACCUUGACGGUACCUUGCGAGAAAGCCACGGCUAACUACGUGCCAGCCGCCGCCGUAA
rnacentral:rRNA from 1 species